rnacentral:lncRNA from 1 species
CUCUUCAGCUCUCUGAGACUUCGUUUGGUUCAGAAAUUAGUAGGAACUAGUUAUUCCACGGAUAGAUACAAAUAUGAGUUUUUGUAAGAAUAAGAUUAUUUUUUUUGUUUGGAUGAAAAUAUGAGUAUAAGCUGGAACUAGAAAAAUUGUGUUUGGAUAGUUAUUGAAAAUAAGACAAAUAGUUGAUGGUUAUAAAUAAAAAAUAAUGAUAUUAUUCAUAUAAUUGAAUUUAAUUUUUAAAAUUUUAAACAUAUAAUUUCAAUUUUAAAAUUUUAACUUUUAAAUUUUAAAAUUUGAAAUUAAAAUUUAAAAUUUAAAUAUUUAAAUAUAUAAAUUUUAAAUUUAAGACCAAAUUUAAAUUUGAAAUAUAUAAAAUAUCAAAUUUAAAAUUUAAAAAUUUAUAAUAUCAAAUUUAAAUUUUAAACUUUAAAAUUUAGAAUUUAAAAUUUUAAUUUUAAAAUUACAAAUUUUAAAUUCUAAAAAUUUAAAUUCUAUUUUAAAACAAAACUCUCUCUCUCUCUCUGUUCCCAUUUCCAUCCGGGGUGAGAAUUAUAGUUCUCAUCUUAACUAAAUCU